CACACACUCACAUAGUACAUAUAUAUAGGUUUUUUAAAUAUAAACACACAUAGUACAGAUAUUCAUAGGGUGUUGAAAUAUAUAUACACACAUUCACAUAGUACAUAUAUAUAUAGGUUUUUUUAAAUAUAAACACACAUAGUACAGAUAUUCAUAGGUUGUUGAAAUAUAUAUAAACACACAGAGUACAGAUAUAUAUAGGUUUUUGAAAUAUAAACACACAUAGUACAUAUAUUCAUAGGUUUUUUAAAUAUAUAUACACACAUUCACAUAGUACAGAUAUAUAUAGGUUGUUGAAAUAUAUAAACACACAUAGUACAUAUAUUCAUAGGUUUUUGAAAUAUAUAUACACACAUUCACAUAGUACAUAUAUAUAUAGGUUUUUGAAAUAUAAACACACAUAGUACAUAUAUUCAUAGGUUUUUGAAAUAUAUAUACACACAUUCACAUAGUACAGAUAUAUAUAGGUUGUUGAAAUAUAUAAACACACAUAGUACAUAUAUUCAUAGGUUUUUGAAAUAUAUAUACACACAUUCACAUAGUACAGAUAUAUAUAGGUUUUUGAAAUAUAAACACACAUAGUACAUAUAUUCAUAGGUUUUUGAAAUAUAUAUAAACACACAGAGUACAGAUAUAUAUAGGUUGUUGAAAUAUAUAAACACACAUAGUACAUAUAUUCAUAGGUUGUUGAAAUAUAUAUACACACACUCACAUAGUACAUAUAUAUAGGUUUUUUAAAUAUAAACACACAUAGUACAUAUAUUCAUAGGUUGUUGAAAUAUAUAUAAACACACAGAGUACAGAUAUAUAUAGGUUGUUGAAAUAUAUAAACACACAUAGUACAUAUAUUCAUAGGUUGUUGAAAUAUAUAUACACACAUUCACAUAGUACAUAUAUAUAGGUUUUUUAAAUAUAAACACACAGAGUACAGAUAUUCAUAGGUUGUUGAAAUAUAUAUACACACAUUCACAUAGUACAUAUAUAUAUAUAGGUUUUUGAAAUAUAAACACACAUAGUACAUAUAUUCAUAGGUUUUUGAAAUAUAUAUACACACAUUCACAUAGUACAUAUAUAUAUAGGUUUUUUAAAUAUAAACACACAGAGUACAGAUAUUCAUAGGUUGUUGAAAUAUAUAUACACACAUU